UGCCAGCCGCCGCGGUAAUACGGAGGGUGCAAGCGUUGUUCGGAAUUACUGGGCGUAAAGCGCGCGUAGGCGGCUUCUUAAGUCAGAUGUGAAAGUCCACGGCUCAACCGUGGAAGUGCAUUUGAAACUGGGAGGCUUGAGUAUUGGAGGGGGUGGUGGAAUUCCCGGUGUAGAGGUGAAAUUCGUAGAUAUCGGGAGGAAUACCGGUGGCGAAGGCGACCACCUGGCCAAAUACUGACGCUGAGGUGCGAAAGCUAGGGGAGCGAACGGGAUUAGAUA
rnacentral:rRNA from 1 species